GAUGAACGCUGGCGGCGUGCCUAAUACAUGCAAGUCGAGCGAACAGAUGAGGAGCUUGCUCCUCUGACGUUAGCGGCGGACGGGUGAGUAACACGUGGAUAACCUACCUAUAAGACUGGGAUAACUUCGGGAAACCGGAGCUAAUACCGGAUAAUAUAUUGAACCGCAUGGUUCAAUAGUGAAAGACGGUUUUGCUGUCACUUAUAGAUGGAUCCGCGCCGCAUUAGCUAGUUGGUAAGGUAACGGCUUACCAAGGCAACGAUGCGUAGCCGACCUGAGAGGGUGAUCGGCCACACUGGAACGGAAACACGGUCCAGACUCCUACGAGAGGCAGCAGUAGGGAAUCUUCCGCAAUGGGCGAAAGCCUGACGGAGCAACGCCGCGUGAGUGAUGAAGGUCUUCGGAUCGUAAAACUCUGUUAUUGGGGAAGAACAAAUGUGUAAGUAACUAUGCACGUCUUGACGGUAACUAAUCAGAAAGCCACGGCUAACUACGUG
rnacentral:rRNA from 1 species